UACGUAGGGCGCAAGCGUUAUCCGGAAUUAUUGGGCGUAAAGAGCUCGUAGGCGGUUUGUCGCGUCUGCCGUGAAAGUCCGGGGCUCAACGUCCGGAUCUGGCGGUGGGUACGGGCAGACUAGAGUGAUGUAGGGGAGACUGGAAUUCCUGGUGUAGCGGUGAAAUGCGCAGAUAUCAGGAGGAACACCGAUGGCGAAGGCAGGUCUCUGGGCCACUACUGACGCUGAGAAGCGAAAGCGUGGGGAGCGAACAGG
rnacentral:rRNA from 1 species